GCCCUAAGUCAUGAGAUUCAGGAAGAUUUUUCUGUGUGAGUUGUUGGGAAUGUGGGAAAAAUAGAGAUUGUCCUGAAGAAAAAAGAGAAUACUUCUUGGAAAUGCCUUGGUCAUCCCCUGAAGAAUCAUAAUUCACUUAUUCCAAAGAAAGAUACAGGUUUGUACUACAGAAAGUGCCAGUUAAUUUCCAAGGAAGAUGUGACUCAUGAUACGAAGCUUUUCUGCUUGAUGCUGCCACCAAGCACAUAUCUUCAGGUGCCAACUGGGCAACAUGUUUACUUCAAUCUAACUAUUA